GAUGAACGCUAGCUACAGGCUUAACACAUGCAAGUCGAGGGGAAACGACAUCGAAAGCUUGCUUUUGAUGGGCGUCGACCGGCGCACGGGUGAGUAACGCGUAUCCAACCUGCCCACCACUUGGGGAUAACCUUGCGAAAGUAAGACUAAUACCCAAUGAUAUCUCUAGAAGACAUCUGAAAGAGAUUAAAGAUUUAUCGGUGAUGGAUGGGGAUGCGUCUGAUUAGCUUGUUGGCGGGGUAACGGCCCACCAAGGCAACGAUCAGUAGGGGUUCUGAGAGGAAGGUCCCCCACAUUGGAACUGAGACACGGUCCAAACUCCUACGGGAGGCAGCAGUGAGGAAUAUUGGUCAAUGGACGAGAGUCUGAACCAGCCAAGUAGCGUGCAGGAAGACGGCCCUAUGGGUUGUAAACUGCUUUUAUAGGGGAAUAAAGUGAGUCUCGGGAGACUUUUUGCAUGUACCUUAUGAAUAAGGACCGGCUAAUUCCGUG
rnacentral:rRNA from 1 species